AAAUAGAUAAAUUUUUAUAUUUUUAGUAAUUUAUUAUGAAUUUAUUUUACAUGUAAAUUUUAGUAUUAAAUUUUAAUUAUUUUAAUAAUAAUUGAUUAUUUUUACAGUAAUUAAAAUUAAAAAUUUAAGAAAUUAAGAUUUAGUAAUAUAAAAAUUAAUAACUAAUUUUGUGCCAGCAGUUGCGGUUAAACAAAAAUUAAAUUAAAUUAUUUCAGUUUAUAAUAAAUAAUAAAAUAAUUAAAUAAAAUAUUGGAUUAUUAAGUAAAAUUUUAAUUCUUGAAAAAUUUAUUUAAAAAUUAUAAUUUAAUAAAUUUUAAUAUAAACUAGGAUUAGAUACCCUAUUAUUAAAAAUUUAAUUAAAAAUACUAAAAUAGUAAAUAAUAUAUUAUUGAAACUUAAAUAAUAUGGCGGUAUUUUAGUUCAUUUAGAGGAAUCUGUCUAGUAAUUGAUAAUCCACGAGUAAAUUUACUUAAUUUAUAAUUUUGUAUAUCAUUGUUAAAAAAAUAUUUUAAAAUAAAAAUAAUAUUUAAAAAUUUAAAAUAAAAAUUAAAUCAGAUCAAGAUGCAGAAAAUAAUUAAGAUAAAGAUGGGUUACAAUAAAAAUAUUUAAAUGGAAAAAAUUUUGUAAAAAAUGAUUGAAGGUGGAUUUAAAUGUAAUUUUAAUUAAUUUAUUAAAAUGAUUAAAAAUUAAAAUAUGUACAUAUUGCCCGUCACUUUCAUUUUAAAAUUGAAAUAAGUCGUAACAAAGUAGAGGUACUGGAAAGUGUUUCUAGAAUGAA
rnacentral:ncRNA from 1 species